rnacentral:rRNA from 1 species
GUCGAGAAUCUUUCACAAUGGGGGCAACCCUGAUGGAGCGACGCCGCGUGGAGGAUAAGGUCUUCGGAUUGUAAACUCCUGUCAUGCGUGAACAAGGUUGCUUGGUUAAUACCUGGGCAAAUUGAUGGUAACGCAAGAGGAAGAGACGGCUAACUCUGUGCCAGCAGCCGCGGUAAUACAGAGGUCUCAAGCGUUGUUCGGAAUCACUGGGCGUAAAGGGUGCGUAGGUGGCGUGGUAAGUCAGAUGUGAAAGCCCGGGGCUCAACCUCGGAACUGCAUCCGAUACUGCCAUGCUAGAGUACUGGAGAGGUGACUAGAAUUCUCGGUGUAGCAGUGAAAUACGUAGAUAUCGAGAGGAAUACCAAAGGCGUAGGCAGGUCACUGGACAGUUACUGACACUGAGGCACGAAGGCCAGGGGAGCGAACGGGAUUAGAUACCCGAGUAGUCC